CACGAGGAAGUGGGCGCUGACGACAAUGCAUUUCACGCCCUAGUUCCAGGGCUACACACGUGCUACUAUGGACAGAACAAAGGGCUGCGAAACCGCGAGGUUAAGCCAAUCCCACAAAUCUGUUCUCAGAUCGGUAUGCAGUCUGCAACUCGACUGCGUGAAGCUGGAAUCGCUAGUAAUCGCGGAUCAGCAUGCCGCGGUGAAUACGUUCCCGGGCCUUGUACACACCGCCCGUCACACCACGAGAGUUUGUAACACCCGAAGUCGGUGAGGUAACCUUUAGGAGCCAGCCGCCGAAGGUGGGACAGAUGAUUGGGGUGAAGUCGUCACAAGGUAGCCGUAUCGGAAGGUGCGGCUGGAUACCUUUCCUUAAAAAAAA
rnacentral:rRNA from 1 species